GACAGGGGGCUCGAGCGUUAAUCGGAAUCAUUGGGCUUAAAGGGUGCGUAGGCGGGUUGCUAAGUGUUCUGUGAAAUCCCUCGGCUCAACCGGGGAAUCGCAGGGCAUACUGGCAGCCUUGAGGCAUGUAGGGGCGGACGGAACUGUAGGUGGAGCGGUGAAAUGCGUAGAUAUCUACAGGAACGCCGAUGGUGAAGACGGUCCGCUGGGCAUGUCCUGACGCUGAGGCACGAAAGCGUGGGGAGCAAACAGG
rnacentral:rRNA from 1 species